UUCGCGUCUAAGCAGCCUCGCAGGGGCAUGCGCAGCGAGACUGCGGGCGCUUGGGGGCAGCCCUGGCGGGUCCUCAAAGUUUGACGGUGUUAGCUUUCAGUUUUCUCGCUGGUUUACGGAAAGGCAGCUUCAAGGAAAGGAGACAAGAUUCUGGCUCGGGAAGCGCGCGUUUGGAGAGAGCCCUCCGGCCUGCGGAAUCCGCGGUCUGAAACCGCGGAGACUGCCUUAGCCGCGGACGCACCUCCUCCGACGGGUAGAGCGGACACCCUUCCGGAGGUGGGAGACGAGGGCCCGGCCUCCGAGAGCCCCUCUGAAGAAGAUGACCCAAGACCAACCUCUGCUUGCGGUGCAGGAGGCCCUGAAGCAGUGCUUCCCGGUGGUGGAGGAGCAGCAGGGCCUGUGGCAGAGUGCCCUAAGCGACUGCCAGCCCCUCCUGCUGUCCCUCAGCAACCUGGCAGAGCAGCUGCAGGCGGCCCAGAAUCUGCGGUUUGAGGACGUGCCACCACUUCGGGCCUUCCCAGACUUAAAGGAGCGGCUGAGGCGCAAGCAGCUGUGGGCUGGCGACACUGUCUUGGACAAGUUAGAGGAGAGGCUAACCGCCCUCCUCAAGGUGCGUGACACCGUCAGCAGCCACGUGGAGCGAGUGCUUCAGACCUAUGAGCAGCAUGCAGACACGAUUGGCAUGGAUGGUGUCCUCCAGGCUUCGGUUGUGAGCCCUUCGGUGGCUGACAUGUUGGAAUGGUUGCAAGAUAUUGAGAGACAUUAUCGAAAUUCGUAUCCUUUGCACAUGUUUCAGGCAGCGUCCAGAGCUGCUUCAGGAAGUCUUUCAGUUUUCGUGAGAUUAUACCACUACGUAGUAUGGGUCAGUCAGUUCUCUUUGAUCUCUGAACUUAGAGAAGAAUAAAGCAGGGCAAGUGAGGGAUGAGCAUUGAGUCCUGACUUGAAAUAGGGUGGGCAGGAGAGGGCUCACUGGGUUAGUGGCAUUUGAGAAAAGACCUAACGAGAGCGAAGGAGAGAGCCACGUGAUAUUUGGGGGAAGCGUGUCCCAGGUAGAAGAAAUCGCAAGUGCAAAGGCCCUGUGGGGGAGAGCAUGCCUGACAUGUUCAUGAAAUAGUGCGGAAGCCAGCAGGGCUAGAGCGGAUGAGGACGGGGAGCCUAACAGGUGACACGUCAGAGAGAUGGGGCUGGACCUUCUAGGGCCCUGGAGGUCUUUGAAAGGAUUUUGGCUUUUGCUCAGAGUGAGGUGGAAAGCUGUUAGAAGGUUUUGAGAAGAAGGAUAACAUAAUCAGCCUGUGUUUUCUCACAGUAUCACCUGGCUGAGUUCGGAGGAAAGACUUGGGGUGGUGUGGAGCCAGGGGAGCUGCAGGAAUACCUAACCAGUUCAUUGGAGUUCUGGCCCUUUUCUCUCAAUUCUUUUUUUUUUUUUUUUUUUCCUAAUGUUUAUUUAUUUUUGAGAGACGGAGUGUGAGCAGAGGAGGGGCAGAGAGAGAGGGAGACACAGAACCCGAAAGGAGGCCCCAGGCUCCUUGCUGUCAGCACAGAGCCCAAUGCGGGGCUCGAACUCCUGAACCAUGAGUUCACGACCUGAGCUGAAGUUGGCCGCUUCACUGACUGAGCCACUCAGGCGCCCCUCUCAUAAGUCUUGCCUGAAUCACACAUCUCCGCUCUGGCUUCAGUUUCUGCCUUCAUUUGAGUAACUCCCCAAUCCGCCCUUCAUUCUCGUUUCUAGCCUUGAUGUUCAGCUUCCCGCAGCUGCCUCCAGCCGGGUCGCUCCUGGGAGCACAAGCUCCUCGGUCCCGCCGCCACACUCAGUCCCCUUUCUCUCCAGGUGUAGGAUCAACCCUGUGUGAUCAUUGUGUGGGAACUCCAGCAGCCCCUUCCCCCUCUCCCUCUCUCUUUCCUUUUUCACUGCAUUGGUGGCAGCUGUGGCGGUGGCAGCUGUGGAGGCAGUGGGACAGCCUAGGCGGGGGAGCAGUAGCCGCAGCCAGUGUUACUGAGCGCUGACUAUGUGCCAGGUACUCUUCUCCCAACGUCCACACGGCCGCCUGUCAGGUGUUUUGAAUCCGUUUCCUUGGCGCUUCUUGUAUUUUAUUUCUCUAUCUGCACUGCCUCUUCCAUAGUCUCUUGCCUCUCAUGAGGCCCCUUGAUCUGUGCAGCCUCUUGACAGGUUUCUCUGUCUCUGCCUUCUUUCCCUCUAAGCUGGCUCCGGCUAGGGACCUCAACGGUAGCCUGAAGACAUCUUUGUUCUGCCUGUUGCUUAUAGAGGAGUUUUCGACAGCUUCCAGAAUCCCCAUGUGGGUCUUCGGUGCUCUUUGUGUUCUGGCUCAGCCUGCCUUCUCGGCCACCUUUCUGACUGCUGUGCGUGUUCCAGCCGGCCAGAUUGGAGGAUUUACUCGGCCCUGAAACCAUUCCAUGCUUCCUCACUUCUGCACCUUAUGCUUUUCUUGCCAGAUGGAAUCUUCCUGAGGCCCUCCAAAUGGGAGGGACUCGUCACUCAACUUCUGAACCGCCACAGAGUUUCCUCUUUUGUGUCCCUGAGAUUCUCCCUUUCUACUUUCUGGUUUUUCUGCUCAGCGUGGUGAGAUCCUAGAUUGUUGGGGUGAUGUUUCAUCCCUCUGGCCCUGUAGCACUGUGAGUGAAGAGGUGCUCAGCAAAGAUGUGUGACACAGCAUAUUUCGUUGUCUUUUUGAGCAGUCCUUAACUUCCCGGAAGUUACCUGAAGAGAAAGUGCCUCCUGUCCUCCAUCCAGUGGGGAGACUUGGCCAACAUCCAAUCUUUGCCCAAGGCCUGGGACCGGAUUUCAGAAGAUGAACACCAAACCCUUGUACAAGGUACUGGUUUUCAUUUAUGCCUUC